rnacentral:rRNA from 1 species
GGCGAUCUAUCCAUGGCCAGGGUGAAGGACAGGUAACACUGUCUGGAGGCCCGAACCCACUUAUGUUGAAAAAUGAGGGGAUGAGCUGUGGAUCGGAGUGAAAGGCUAAUCAAGCUCGGAGAUAGCUGGUUCUCCUCGAAAUCUAUUUAGGUAGAGCCUCAUGUAUCACUCUAGGGGGUAGAGCACUGUUAUGGCUAGGGGGUCAUCCCGACUUACCAAACCAUUGCAAACUCCGAAUACCUAGAAGUGCAAUCAUGGGAGACACACUGCGGGUGCUAACGUCCGUAGUGGAAAGGGAAACAACCCAGACCGCCAACUAAGGUCCCAAAAUCAUAGCUCAGUGGGAAACGAUGUGGAAAGGCAUAGACAGCCAGGAGGUUGGCUUAGAAGCAGC